GGGCUUGUGCAGAUGCUUUAAUAAUUAACAAAAAGCUCAGCUAAGGAGUUCUGGGAGAGGAUUCUGCAGCUGCUUAUGCGUGCACAGAUCCCAGGUCAAGUUCUGACACAAGGCCACGCUGGAGCCCAGAAGAGCUCGAGUUGCUUCAGGGUCUCCAAAGGGUUGGAAGAAACUUUCUGUAAACGCGUCCAGCAGAGAAGGUGCUGCUUUAAUGAGGAUGUUUACUACAGACCCUUUAAAAGCUGGCAGAUAAACAGUUAAUGGAUUAUUAAGAUUCAUGGACGUCUAGUAACUAGAAAGAUUAUGGUACCGUGGCAACAUUCUCACCUUUAUAGUUUGAAAACUUAAACAACAAUGAAAGUAUGACUAAUUUCUUGAAAACUAUGGCAAAAAUUCCACCUAAUUAUACGAGAAACAAAUGUUGAAUUGAACCUUUUUAAAUCCUUUUUUCUUAGCAGGAAUAUUGUUUGCUGAAACUCCUUCUCUAAAUUGAAUACUAUAGAAUGUUUUUCUAGUCCUUUCACUCAAUGAUGGAUCUACAUGUGGUGCAUGAAAGAAAGCGUGAGGCUUGAGCUUUACAUCCACAGCCUGACCCCUCUGCACUGCUUUUUCUGUGAAGGAGCUCAUCAUUUAAGAAAACCAAACCACUAACCAGACGCCCACACAGCGAUCCAGACUGGUUCCUCGAAACUCCUACCUCGGAUCCUCCACAGAUAGUUAUGGAUGGAUUCACUCUGCAAAUGCUCAACACUGUUUGAGGAGGAGAGUACUUCUCCACAAAGAGGAUGUUUAUGUUUUCUGCAGGUUCAAACACAACCUUAAGCUAAAAAAAAGACAGAGCAGCCACGUUUUUAAGACUGCAGCAUCAGAAUGAAUACAUUAAAUCCCAAUCUCCUGUGAAGACCAGAGAAAACAUACAUUCCAUGACAGCAUUAGGUUUUAUUUAAGGCACACAUUUAUUUAUUUUUCUGCUUAUUUGGUUUGAAACUAGUGCUCAUCAAUUAUGCAUGAAAUAUUUGCAAACUCUCAGUUGUGAAUGUGCAGCAUAGUACCAGAGUACCAGAAUAUUCCCCCUAAAACUCAGAAGCUUUCACCCACCAUUGUGUCAAAUGUUCUGUUUCCCUCAAAGGCUGAGCUCUGCUUUGAUUGGCAGCAUGUGAAGAUGAAAAAAUGUAAUGGCUGCAUCCGAUAAAUACAAAAAACAGCCGCCUUGGGAAAUGAAACAAGUAUGAGAUCCAGAGACAAGAGAGGGCAGUGACAGCAGGGAGGAAGUGAGAGACGUAUGAGACUUUGGUGAGAAACCCCACAAAUCAGAAUCACGGUAGUGAGAAACCUUCAGCCAGAGCUGCAGAAAAGCCAACUUCACAGCCCAUUUAUUCAGCAGAAAAAUAAUAAAACUAUAAAUGAAUGCAUUCAGACUACAAAGUGCCUGUAUGUGAACAUUUUUGGAACCAACAGGUAUGUUUGGAACAUCUGAGUGUGUGGACAGACCCCGCCCCUUUUAGACUAACCUGACAGUAAUGAUUAUGAACUUCCAGAAACUUGCUGCUACAUGAUCCCCCCCCCCCUUCUAUAAUAAUCCUAUUUCCUUAACCCCCCCUCCUUUUUUCUCCCUCUCUUUUGUGCCCUUAACACUCCCCCCCAACAAAAAAAAAUUCACCUCCAACUUUUGGCAGGACCGUUGUGUGAAGCAACACCAUUGUGGCCUCCCCAGCUUAUGUCUACAUCACAGACAAAGAGAUUCUUUUUGGUCUUCUCUUGAUUUACAACGAUUUAAAUAAGAAAUACCCAGAAAUGCAAUUUUGAGCUUAAUUGUCUUCAUAAUUGUCCUCCAUCAUUAGAAAAAGGCUGCAAGAACAUGUUAAAAACACCAAAAACACCAUUUUUGUCACAGUGGGUCUUCAGCCGUUCAUGUUUUUGUUGUCCCUCCAAAUUCUUCCCAGUGACUGAGCUGCCAUUUUUCCAUUUCUCUUCAAUGAAAGCAGACAAAAAGGUUUAAUGAGUUUUGACAGACUGGCCUUUUUGCUUCUCUGCAAUUACAGCAAACAGCAUUUCAGCAUUCGCUCUGCAGGCAGAACGCUUCUCACAUCUCCAACAGGGCCGCUCAUUUUCCCAUGAUUCAUGUUUCACUCAGAAUGAAGUCUGGCUUUUUUACUUCACCCUGAGUCUCUGGUCUUCAACCAACAAGCAAAAAGAUCCAAGGUUACAAAAUCAAAGACAGGUCCUAUAGGUGCAAACACUUCAAAGAAUCACAUGCUUUUAUUUCCCGUGUCCACCUUUGAUCCGAACAUCCCGAAGAAAAAGGAAAAGAAAAAGUUACAAAGGAGGCAGGAAGCUGGGGGAGGCAAAUAAAUAAAAAUAUAAAAAAACAGGCAGAACACAGAACCCCACAGCCCAGAUGGAAAUGAUUCGGUAACAUCGUCCCAAAGGUUUACACAAACAAACAAGUGGUAACUUUCUCCAGCUGAAAGCAAGUGAACUCAAGAAACGAAAAAAAAAAAAAAAACAUUCAGAAUGAUGAACUGAAUAAGAGUUAAAGUAAUAGAUAAAUGUAUAUAAACCGGCAAAUGUGUCUUCUGUAGAGGACUUUCUAAACCCGCAAAUCUCCCAACCACUGCACUCUACUGAAAGAGCUCCGUUUGGUUUCUACAGAGGACUUUUUUUGCUUUUCAAAGACACCAAAUGUGAAGGGGGCGGGGCUCUGGGAAUUUUAGUUCUUGGUGGAUUUCAAACAAUUUUGACUGAACAGCUUUUUUUCCUCUGAGGUGGAACGGCUGACUGUAUCAGAGAAAUGGACAGACUCAUCCAUGGAAAAUGUUUACUUCCGGCUCCAACCAAAUGAAGUCAGUUUUGUCGCCAUUUUCCGCAAUAUGGACGCUGCCAUGUUGGAGCCAGACAUCGUCAGCAAGCAGCACCAUUUUUGCCAAUGGAAAAGCAGCCAUGCGCCGAUGUGCAACACUAUCGUAGAAAAAGAUCUCUGCUGAUCAGAAGCAUCACUUUUCAAACAGAAGAGGCCUUAGGGAAUGACUAAAGCGAUGUGUUUUGGGGACGGUGGUCGUGUCCGCCAACAGGAGGUCGUUCUAGAGUGGAGAAACGAGGAACCCUAAAUGUGAACCAGUUCUACUGCAACGGUAUUCCUGCAGAAUGCCAGGACUUAAAAAAAAAAACACCAGCAGCGCUAAACCCCUGUAACCAUGGCGAUACACACCUGACAAGAACGUGCACAGAGCAGCAGAUGGAGAUGAAGAAAUGUCCAACCGGGAGGAAACACCUGCCUGGAGGAGCAGAAAGGGCAGCAGUAAUGAGACACACUGUACAUUCAUGGAGAAUGUUAGCAGCAGUGAUGCUAUACUAAUUUUAAAUUCACCCUAGAGGACCCAAUGGGUUUCUUUUACUUCUUUUACUUUUAUUUUAUCAGCUGCUGUUAGAUGCAGCCUAGAAGGAUCGCAACACAACACAAAAUAACACACUACAAUUUGUCACAACACUAAAAAAAUUUACUCACAACAUGAAACAAUAACUCAGAAUACUUUAUCUCAAAACAAAACGAAAGUAUACCUGCAAUGAAAGUUUUCGUUUUUUAGUGUUCUGACAAAUUGUAGUGUGUUAUUUUGUGUUGUGUUGCAAAAUUUUAAGUGUUGUGUCACAGAAAAAACAACGUACAAUAAAAAAAAAAAGUUUAGUGAACUUUAAAAAGAUCCCAAGAAAAUUUUUUCUGGGUUCUUUAGGGUUAAAAUAUUAAUUUCAUUUUACUAAACGACUUAAAAUGUCCCUUAUUGAAUAUUUAGACUCUUAUUUUGAAGUUUCACAGUUCGCAGUGACAGAAAUGCCUGAUAAAGUUGUAAGGAUUAUUAACUGUUACACUGCAAGAUAAUUCUAAUUAAUUUGUCAGAUUAAAGGGUUUUAGAUUCAUAAAAGUUGAUCAUUAAUAGGCAUUUAAAGAAUUAUCUGCCCUUCGAGGUCAAACUUAAGAUUUAAUUCUAAACCUACUGAAUGAGUUCUGUGUAUAAAUGAAGGCAUGGGGUGUUUUUUUCUCCUCCUAUCUUGUAAUCUAUGGAAGCAUUUGUGUAGCAUAAUUAAA